AUGCGCCCAGCCGUGGCCAUAUUGUGGCCCACAUACAGCGGGUCCGCAAUACACGGGGACUGGCCGUGUACACCCCGCAAUCCGGGAACGGAAGCCCACAGUGUUUCUGUCCGUGCCUCUGCACCACAAAAAAUUUGAACAUGUUCCAUUUUUUUACGGUGCGGACGGAUCACGGACCCAUUCAAGCUGAUCCGUCCCGGCUGCUGCACGAAUGUAGCCUGUGCAUUGGGGACCGCACAACGGCCAUUUGCAUGAAGCCUUAUUGUAUUAAUUUUAUAGAAUAUAUUAUCUCCAUUUCAAGAAUUAAAAACACAGAAUUAAGCAAUUUUUCCUAUAUUUUCCACUUGUUUUGUGUAUACCGCUCCCAUGCAGACCUAUGUGUCACCAUGGUAACAGACUACAAACAACCCCUGUGUAGUCUGAGCCUGCACUCAUGUGCUACUCAUUCUCAUCUAUCUUCUCUUCUACUUUCUGCACAGAUUUGAUCUGUAUUCUGUAGCCUUAGCGAAACCUAGAAAACUGUGCAGAAUGAGAAGAGAUGUCAUUAAAGGGGUUUUCCAAGAGUUAAAUAUUGAUGGUCUAUCCUCAGGAUAGGUGAUUAAUAUCAGAUUAGUGGCAUCAGACUCCCCCGUCUAUCAGCUGUUGGAAGGGGCCGUGGCACCCGGGCAAGUUCUGCAGCCUCCGCCUCAAACUGUGAUGUUACCUCCAUCAGUCAAGUGACCUUUCUUCGGCUCAGUCCCACUCAAGCGACCAAGCAUAGCCCCCAAGGCAUACUAUGGAGAGGCAGCAGCAUCUUCAAACAGCUGAUCAGCAGGGGUGAUGAGCACCAGACCCCCAUCAAUCAGAUAUUGAUGACCUAUCUUAAGGAUAGGUCAUCAAUAUUUAACUCCUGAGAAACCCCCUUUAAGACUGUUGGGUAAAGUUGCUUCAUUUUUAUUUUAGACAGAAGCUGCAAAAUUAUACACACCCGGUUUUGCCAUUCAGGAUCCGGAGAAAGCUGGGCGUUCUGUAAUUGUAAACAUAUUGCUUGCCACCCAGCAGCCCCAGAUAUGGGUAUAUCUAAAAGAUAGCAAGUCAAUAACAUUUCUAACAUCUGGACAAUGGAGGAUGACCGGGGGGAUGUGGUUAGUGUCCGCUGCAUGGGGCUUGCAGAAACCGCAAUACAGAUACAUAGAACUGAUCUGCAGCCGAUGAAAUUUGUGCAAGAAACCUGCAAAUGAAAUCAUUGAAAAUAAAGCCUCAUUCCCACGUCCGUGCUGAAAUCUGUGAAAAGAUGGUCAGUGAUGCCUCUGUCAAGACAUCCAUUACGAUCUCUACUUGCUGUCUGAAAAAAUGAAAAGGAAUUUCUAGUUUGAAAUCUUGCCCUGAACUAAUCCUGUUGGCACAGCUGAGGGUUUGUUACCAUGUGCCAGAGCUAUAAACUCGACAAAGGUAUAAACUUUCCUACUGUCCUAUCUACAUUGCUGCAUUUUAGCAAGCCCAUCACCUGUGUGAGCAUUCCUGUUCACUGACAGCAAUAAGAAGUCUUGAUAAUAGUGAGGAAUGGAAACACAAAGUAGGAAAGUUGCAGUUUUUAUUGUACAGUGUUCAUGGAAGACUGAACUGGCCCUUUAAGAGAUCAGUGAGUCUAAUAUUAAAGGGGCAACUGAGUUUUUAUUGUUUUAAAGGGAACACUCUAUAAGCCACUCUAUAAGCAGGACACCGAGGGCCGGGUUAUCUGUAAAUUCUCAAAACCCACCACCCACAGGGUAUAGGGAGCUGGAGAAAGGGGCGAGCUCCUCUUGUCCAGCGCUAGCGCUCGUGACUCAUCAAUGGUGGGAGCCUUAAUAACGUAGCAAUAUGUAACCAACAAGAUCUAAACUUCUAUCUAAAGAGGAAAUAAGCAGGGGCUGCAGUCUGAAGAGCUGGUGGUCUGUGCCGCUCGAGGACACAGAGAUGAAAAAAGAUGAGUGGAUGGAUCAGACGCGCAGGAGGAAGAGCCGCUGAAAGCUCAGAUGCUUCUUUCGGCCCCAUCUACAGGCUGAGAUAUUGCAUCAGAAAUCAAUGAGCCUCGUAUUAAACACAGAAAGGGUCACUAGGUUCUAACACAAGCUUGAAAGGAUCCUACAUUUUUUACUAAAGAAAUUAUAGACUGGAACUGAAGCCGGGCUCUCAGGAGACACGUUUGUAAGCCAGGUCAGGGGAAGGUGAUAGCGGCGAUGUUACUCAUGAAAAGUUUCAUUAAAAGAUGGGGGAAAACUACAUCUAGAGGUGACUAUGAAACUUAUUUAUAUUGAAAGGAAUAUAUACUGUCUGAAAAGCUGCCGACACAAUGGAGACUUUACCAAUGAUGAUACAACUUCUAAUGUGUAAGAUACAAUGGACGUUAUCAUGUACUGAGAAAACAUGCAAUGUAUAAUGUGCCCAUACCAGAUACAAUGUACAGACACCAGAUACAAUGUGCCCAUACCGGAUACAAUGUAUAAUGUACUGAUACCGAAUACAAUAUAUAAUCUACAAACACCAUGUAUAAUGUACUGAUAACGAAUGCAAUGUACACUGGAUACAAUGUACAGACACCGGAUACAAUGUAUAAUGUGCCCAUACCGGAUACAAUAUAUAAUCUACAAACACCAGGUAUAAUGUACUGAUAACGAAUGCAAUGUAUAAUGUACUGAUACCGGAUACAACAUAUAAUGUACAAACACCGGAUACAAUGUAUAAUGUACUGAUAGAGAUAUACAGAUAGAGAAUGAGACCCUGCACAAGUUGACUCUUUUCUACCUGUUUGCAAACUGACUGUGACAAGAGACAUUGUGGGAUGAGAACUUACUAUUGUUUUGGCUUUUUUGAAUAAACCCUUAUGCUGCAUCCAAUCCUGCUAGUUGCCUACCAUUUGUAAAGCUAAUGCCCACAGUACUGGCACCAGAUCCGGUGUCAGUACCUUAUACAAUGUAUUAUUAUUAUUUAUUAUUACAGCGCCAUUCCUUCCAUAGCGCUGUACAUAUGAUAAGCGGUGCACAUACAUAAUACAGACAAUUG